UGCCUUUGUGUUGCCCAUUCAUUCCCUUCUGAAAUGAAUGUGGUGUCAAAAAAGGCAGAGAAGAAUUCUUGCUCAAACUGCUUAAGGAGUUGUUUAUUUGCCUUUCUCCCUGCAAACCUUUUUUUUUUUUUUUUUCAAGGACAAAA
rnacentral:snoRNA from 1 species